AGUGAACGCUGGCGGCAGGCCUAACACAUGCAAGUCGAGCGGCAGCGGGUUCCCGCGAGGGGAUGCCGGCGAGCGGCGGACGGGUGAGGAACACAUCGGAAUCUGCCUGGUUGUGGGGGAUAACGUAGGGAAACUUACGCUAAUACCGCAUGCGACCCUGAGUCGACGGACUGGGGGUGAAAGUGAGGGACCUUCGGGCCUCACGCGACCAGAUGAGCCGAUGUCGGAUAGCUAGUUGGCGGGGUAACGGCCCGCCAAGGCGACGAUCCGUAGCUGGUCUGAGAGGAUGAUCAGCCACACUGGGACUGAGACACGGCCCAGACUCCUACGGGAGGCAGCAGUGGGGAAUCUUGGACAAUGGGCGCAAGCCUGAUCCAGCCAUG
rnacentral:rRNA from 1 species